rnacentral:rRNA from 1 species
GCAUAUCAAUAAGCGGAGGAAAAGAAACCAACAGGGAUUGCCCCAGUAACGGCGAGUGAAGCGGCAACAGCUCAAAUUUGAAAUCUGGCCCCUCCGGGUCCGAGUUGUAAUUUGUAGAGGAUGCUUUUGGUGAGGUGCCGCCCGAGUUCCCUGGAACGGGACGCCACAGAGGGUGAGAGCCCCGUCUGGCUGGCCGCCGAACCUAUGUAAAGCUCCUUCGACGAGUCGAGUAGUUUGGGAAUGCUGCUCAAAAUGGGAGGUAUAUGUCUUCUAAAGCUAAAUACUGGCCAGAGACCGAUAGCGCACAAGUAGAGUGAUCGAAAGAUGAAAAGCACCUUGAAAAGAGGGUUAAAUAGUACGUGAAAUUGUUGAAAGGGAAGCGCUUGUGACCAGACUUGGGCGCGGCGGAUCAUCCGGGGUUCUCCCCGGUGCACUUCGCCGCGUCCAGGCCAGCAUCAGUUCGUCGCGGGGGAAAAAGGCUUCGGGAACGUGGCUCCUCCGGGAGUGUUAUAGCCCGUUGCAUAAUACCCUGCGGUGGACUGAGGACCGCGCAUCUGCAAGGAUGCUGGCGUAAUGGUCACCAGCGACCCGUCUUGAAACACGGACCAAGGAGUCGUCUUCGUAUGCGAGUGUUCGGGUGUCAAACCCCUACGCGUAAUGAAAGUGAACGCAGGUGAGAGCUUCGGCGCAUCAUCGACCGAUCCUGAUGUUCUCGGAUGGAUUUGAGUAAGAGCAUACGGGGCCGGACCCGAAAGAAGGUGAACUAUGCCUGUAUAGGGUGAAGCCAGAGGAAACUCUGGUGGAGGCUCGCAGCGGUUCUGACGUGCAAAUCGAUCGUCAAAUAUGGGCAUGGGGGCGAAAGACUAAUCGAACCUUCUAGUAGCUGGUUUCCGCCGAAGUU